GACGAACGCUGGCGGCGUGCUUAACACAUGCAAGUCGAACGAAGUGGCGAACGGGUGAGUAACGCGUAAUCAACCUGCCCUUCAGAGGGGGACAACAGUUGGAAACGACUGCUCAUACCGCAUACUGAAGGAGGGGCUUGCGUCUGGUUAGCUAGUUGGAGGGGUAACGGCCCACCAAGGCGAUGAUCAGUAGCCGGGCUUGAGGGGUGGACGGCCACAUUGGGACUGGAGACAGGCCCAGACUCCUACGGGAGGCAGCAAUGGGGAAUCUUCCGCAAUGGACGAAAGUCUGACGGAACAAAGCCGGGUGGGUGAUGACGGCCUUCGGGUUGGAAAGCUCUGUUAAUCGGGACGCGGUACCGGAAUAGAAAGCCACGGCUAACUACGUGCCAGCAGCCGCGGUAAUAC
rnacentral:rRNA from 1 species